CUAAGGGAGCGGCGGUGAAGUGCGCGCCGCGGCGGACCUUGUCGAGCAGCGGCAAAAACCUCAGCGAUCGGGAUGCGCACCAUUUUACUGCAACAUUUAAAGGAUCAAAAGUGAGGCAAAAAUCCACGAUGAACAAAACCCCAGAGUCUCAACGAAGACGGGCUGUUGAGUUCAUGUGCCCAUCCUCCGGGGCUCCAGAUUCCGGAGGGUGCACUGUGUGUGCGGGGGCGUGCGCGUUUCCUUUGGCCUCGGGCGCCUUCUGCGCGCUGCUCAGCAGUGUCCAUCCACAGUGAAAAGGGGCCUCUGCAUUAUCCUCAGAGCAGGACUGGGGCUCUGACGUGCGCAGUUACAGCCUUUGAAAUGCCCCCUCCUCCUGAAAAGAAAAGAGCAGCUUCCUCCCGAGAAACUUCCAGAAACAGCUGACCACAUCGUGGAAGUUAUAAAUCAGGUGUGGUGAUGUCUCCAAACUUCCUAGAGCCAAGUCCAGCUGAGUAAACUCAACGCUGCGGCGGAUGGCAGAAUCCUGAUGUGCCGGGAAAUUCUGAAAAGACCUCACACUGGUAGGUCUCGCUGCAGAGAACUGACAGGCACAGCUGGGUCACAAUUGCGACCUGCAAGUGUGCGGGGAACCUGCAUUAGCCUCGUCCUCCGACGCUGAUUCUGCCAUGACUGACCCACCCCGUGCCUCUGUCCACUGCACCUGCUGCUGUGGUUAGGACCACCGACCCUGCAGCUUGCGUGGGGAGCCAGAGAUUGUUGCUGCUGGUGAUCUGAAAUCAUGAAGGUGCACUCAGAGAGAAUCUUGGACAUAAGUCAGGAUUUCAUCUGAUAUGCCAACAGAGAAAAUCCUCAUCGAAAGCCAUCUCUGGUUAUGUCUUCCUGACGAAGAGGAUGUGGACCUUGGGCGAGGAAAGGUGUUCUCCGAAAUAACAUUCGGCACCGCACUGGACGGUCAAUCAGGUCUAACAACAACUUCAUUAUUCCCCUUAACGCUUUUCAGAUUUUCAACGAUGAAUGUGCGAGCGAAGGGCUUUCUUGUAUUCCUGUUAUGGCUUUCUUUGUCAUUUCCAAGAAACUUUGGCCUGUUCCCAAGCCAACAAAGGU